rnacentral:lncRNA from 1 species
GCUCUCAACCUGUGUCCAUCUUCGGCUCGGUCCAUGCGACGCAUGGUCACGUUUGCCUCAACUGUCCAAGGGUCGGCAACUAGGACUUAUUUUGCCACAAAAGAGUCGCCCCGUUCCCUAAUCAUGGACCAUAUGAAAAGAUCAACUGCCCGUAAGAAAGAACACGAAUUAAUGGAUUGUUGGAAGGGAGAAAUGAACUAAGGGGGUGUUUGGAAGACAGGGGCUAAACUUUAGCCCCUGUCACAUCGGAUGUUUGGACACUAAUUAGCAGUAUUAAACAUAAGCUAAUUACAAAACUAAUUGCACAACCCCUAGGCUAAAUCGCGAAACGAAUCUAUUAAGCCUAAUUAAUCCAUGAUUUGAUAAUGUGGUGCUACAGUAACCAUUCACUAAUGAUGGAUUAAUUAGGCUUAAUAGAUUCGUCUCGCGAUUUAGCCUAGGGGUUCUGCUAUUAGUUUUGUAAUUAGCUCAUGUUUAGUCUUCCUAAUUAGCAUCCGAACAUCCGACGUGACAGGGCUAAAGUUUAGCCCCUGGUAUCCAAACACCCCCUAA